rnacentral:rRNA from 1 species
GAGUUUGAUCUUGGCUCAGAUUGAACGCUGGCGGCAUGCCUUACACAUGCAAGUCGAACGGCAGCACGGGAGCUUGCUCCUGGUGGCGAGUGGCGAACGGGUGAGUAAUGCAUCGGAACGUAUCCUGGAGUGGGGGAUAACGUAGCGAAAGUUACGCUAAUACCGCAUAUUCUGUGAGCAGGAAAGCGGGGGACCUUCGGGCCUCGCGCUCUUGGAGCGGCCGAUGUCGGAUUAGCUAGUUGGUGAGGUAAAGGCUCACCAAGGCGACGAUCCGUAGCAGGUCUGAGAGGAUGAUCUGCCACACUGGAACUGAGACACGGUCCAGACUCCUACGGGAGGCAGCAGUGGGAAUUUUGGACAAUGGGGGCAACCCUGAUCCAGCCAUGCCGCGUGAGUGAAGAAGGCCUUCGGUUGUAAGUAC